rnacentral:ncRNA from 1 species
CAGCGCCUGUUCCAUGAUCGCCAAGGUGACCAUGGCCGUGCGUGAUUUUGAUCUGGUCGCGCCGCUGGGCAGCCCGGGAAAUGGGCGGCCCACCGACAUGCGCAGCACGGAUACCUCCGGUCAACUGUCACUGUUCGACCGGGCAGAGCAUGAACACGGGUCCGGCGCAGUUUCCUUGCCGAUCGACGCCACCAUGGGUCUUCGGCAAGGCGACGUGGAUAGCGCGAGCGGAUG